rnacentral:rRNA from 1 species
CCUACGGUGGCAGCAGUGGGGAAUAUUGGACAAUGGGCGAAAGCCUGAUCCAGCCAUGCCGCGUGUGUGAAGAAGGCCUUCGGGUUGUAAAGCACUUUCAGUGGGGAAGAAAGCCUUGGGGCUAAUACCCUCGAGGAAGGACAUCACCCACAGAAGAAGCACCGGCUAACUCCGUGCCAGCAGCCGCGGUAAUACGGAGGGUGCGAGCGUUAAUCGGAAUUACUGGGCGUAAAGCGCGCGUAGGCGGUUUGAUAAGCCGGUUGUGAAAGCCCCGGGCUCAACCUGGGAACGGCAUCCGGAACUGUCAGGCUAGAGUGCAGGAGAGGAAGGUAGAAUUCCCGGUGUAGCGGUGAAAUGCGUAGAGAUCGGGAGGAAUACCAGUGGCGAAGGCGGCCUUCUGGACUGACACUGACGCUGAGGUGCGAAAGCGUGGGUAGCAAACAGGAUUAGAUACCCGGGUAGUC